rnacentral:rRNA from 1 species
CCUACGGGAGGCAGCAGUAGGGAAUAUUGCUCAAUGGGGGAAACCCUGAAGCAGCAACGCCGCGUGGAGGAUGAAGGUUUUCGGAUUGUAAACUCCUUUUGUUAGAGAAGAUAAUGACGGUAUCUAACGAAUAAGCACCGGCUAACUCCGUGCCAGCAGCCGCGGUAAUACGUAGGGUGCAAGCGUUACUCGGAAUCACUGGGCGUAAAGAGCGCGUAGGCGGGAUAGCAAGUCAGAUGUGAAAUCCUAUGGCUUAACCAUAGAACUGCAUUUGAAACUGUGAUUCUAGAGUAUGGGAGAGGUAGGUGGAAUUCUUGGUGUAGGGGUGAAAUGCGUAGAGAGCAAGAGGAACACUCAUGGCGAAGGCGACCUGCUAGAACAUAACUGACGCUGAUGCGCGAAAGCGUGGGGAGCAAACAGGAUUAGAUACCCGGGUAGUC